CCCGGCCACCUAGUGUUCUGGGGGUGUAAUUGCAGAGCAAGACAGACACACCAACACACAAGUAAAAAUGCUCACAUCGGUGUGGGCCAUGGCAUAAGCUCUUUGUAGACUCAAUGCAAAAGUAUAAAUGGACUUUUAGGCUCUUAGGAGGGGCAGUGGAAGAAGCAGAGGCAAGGUAAACCAAAGAAAUAUUGAUUGUUUAACAAGCACUGCACAUUUAAUGGGCUUUCUAAAAGCCAAUUUGAUAACAUUACACUGUCGCUCACUGUUGGGCUGUUAAAAAAAAAAAAAACAUAUCCCGGAAUUUACAUCAGAAAUACAUGUUCAUUCCACCUAAGCUCAGCAUAUACAAGCUACAGAGAAAAUUGGUAUGUUAGGAAAAUAGUCACAUGCAGCACAUUCCCAUUUUACUUCAGUAGGGUUUAGUCCAGUUGUAUGUACUGUAUCUCUUUGUAACGUUUAAUUGUGCUGAAUGAAGGAAAAAUGUGAACACACAGCAUGGACCCUAAGCUGAUGAAAUAUAUCCCACAGAUGGGGUAUAAAAUUUAAGGCUAUCUGAGUAUCUAUUCAGUUUUAAGUCAUUUUAAUUGGCAUCAAGCCACAGAAAUAUAAGAUAAUGCUACCUGAUACAAAAUGUCAAGGUAAAUUAUUAAACAGCUAAUUUACAUAAGAUUAAUGAAAUGAUACCUGAAAUUAAGGGCAUUAUGAAUAAUGAAGAAAAGAGUAUCAUUUCUGACCUUGUUAAAUUUUUAAUGAGCUUGCCACAGUGACUGCAGUGUGGUUGGCCCAUUUUAAAAGGGAAGCCAUAGCUUCUCAGAAUAAUAGGGGUAAUUAAUUGGGUCGGAUUGUUUCUGGGAGCUGUUUGCUUCCAUUGAAAAAAAGCUGCUCCAAAACAAAUGGUCCACUGUGUGUUUAGGUACUUCAUCCCCUAUUUGUCUGCUAUAAGCCUUCUGAGAAUUCACUACAGCAUACUGUGAAAGGCUGAAACGUCAGGGAGGACUUCCUGUUCAAUCAUGAAUCUCCAAUAAAGCCCGAAGACACAGGACUGUCUAUUCUUUCGUGAAACAAGGUAAACUGUGGCACUUCAGUAAAUUCUGAAGAUGUAGGACUUUCUGCUCUUUUGGAGAAGCAAGUGAAGCAAGGUAAACUGUGACACGUUAGUACUGUCUGAAGUUUUAGGACUAUUACUUUGAAGAAACAAGUUAAAGAGGCUAAACUGAGACAGUCUGAAGCUGUAGGACUUCCUUGUAUUUUGGAGAGAUAGUUUAUACAAGGUAAAAUGUGACUUCAGGAAAGUCUGAAGCUGUAGGAUCUUUAAAUCUUAAUCCUUUAGCAGCUCUACUUGUUCUACUAGGUUUGACUUUCGUUUCCUGCAUUGAACUAGCAUGGGAGAGGCGAGCUGUGUGUUUGUGUGUCUGGUUCAUCCUUGGUAAGUAUCAUCACUGGCUCAUAAAGACAAAAAUGACGAGGCGACUGCUCAAUUCCACGCUGUGGCAUCAAACCAGCGUUGCUUCAAGAGAGGAAAGGAGAACUGCAUAGGUUUUUUUCAGCUUCAUUAUUCUGCUAGGUGCUUGUGAGCUGCUGGACGCUGAUCUGCCAUUCGAUGGUCAGCUUUCCCAGAGUACAGUAAAGGUGUGGCAAUCCGGGACAUGACCCCGAGGAAACACACCAGCCGCCCUUGGUUUUCUGGCAGGGACACAGGCUAGCUCAGCCAGGACUGAUUUGGCUACAGAUAUAUGGGGGAGAAAAUGGACCAAAAAUGCUAAAAAAAAAACAGGUACUGAGAAAUGUACCCCCCCCCCCCCAAUCACAUUUCAGCAAAUGUGGAAACAACCAUAUCAUGAAAGAAGGUUGUGAAUGGAGAUUUUAAAGCUUGGAGUGUGUACGGUUUCUUUAUAACUUUAAGUUUUAAAAAGACUCUUGCAUGCUCUCCUGUGCCACUUGUAACUGGCAGGGCAGGGCUGGUGUUAAUUACAGUCAAUAAGGAGAGAGCCGACCCGGCCUGUGAGACAGUGUGAGUAUAUUUAGAUCCUGUACGCCUAGCACUGCGCUGAAGUUUGCUGAGAGGCAACUCUGUAUAUUCUUUACUCUCUCUUAAUCAUGGCUUGGAUUGUUAUAUAAAAGUCACGUGGAAAUGAAGUGCUUUGGGCUUUUACACAUCACUGCCAUGCAUAUGUCAACUGACAGGCAAUUAACUAGAAGACAGACCAUACAUAAAAUAACAGGUAGAUCAUUCUUAGAAACACAGAUUUUGCUGCAGAUAGACUUUUGCGAGCUUUCCACAGAGACAGAUAACAAUAAUAAAGAUAAAGGUUCCCAAUGGAUAAAUAGCUUCAGUGGGACUGAAGAUUUGGAUGGAUAUGUCAACGGCAAGAUGGUGCAGGCCGAGUAAUGCUCUAAUAAGCCUACACCAGGAAAGUCUGAUUCUCGGGGUUUGUUAGGUGUUAGGAAUGGCAUUGAAAUAACAGCCUUCACAACAAAAGCCCCUGCUCCUCCACUACUGCCUACAUAGGACACGGUGCUGUCCAUGAAUCUGUCAGUUACUCAGGGUGCAAAUAUAUAUAUAAAAAAAUCCAGACAAGCAGAGUCUAUUAGUUCACAGUCUUGACAGUCAUGGUAGGAAGAGGAACGUAAAUGAGACUUGGAUAAAGGCAAGUUAUCCCAGGGUAACGUUCCGAUCAGCUUGAGGUCUCUCUUUAUGCCUGAUAAAAAAGCACUGAAAUAUUUCUGCAUCAUUGCUUUAUUAUUUUGUGAAGCCAAACAGGAUUAAAAUACCACGUGUUAUGACUAUACAAUGGAUCUAACUUGCCCGGGCUUUCGUAAAAGUCCUCAGCAUCUUUUCAGUUCAUUGUUUAAUUGGACGGCAAAGUGUCUGUGGUUAUUUCUGGUCUAAUGCAAUGUUGAAAAUGCCAGCUGUCCCUAUCACAGCCUGUCACACUGAUAGCCAUUGUUCCUGUCUGGCUUCUCCAGAACGAGCCCCUCCUGUCAUAGGUGAACUCUAAUGCACAUUAUUUAUUUAUUUAUUUAUUUAUUUUUACCGUUUUCUACAUGUUCACUCCGUAGUCUGAAGCUGCCUCUCCGCUCUGGCAUACACUGUACACUGUACACUGUACUGUAGACCGUUGCUGUGGCGACACCUUUCAGAACGAGUUGAGGGCCAAGCAGCUCACUUUAAAGAAAGCUGUUCACAUAACAGACAGUUUGAGCCAUUUUAUAUUUUGCAUUUCAUACAUACACACAUAGAAAAAAAAAGAUCAAGAACCAUCUUAGGAAAGUUUGUAUCAUCAUUUUGUUUGUAAAUAAAUGUCAAAUUAUUCUCAGUAGCAGCAGUCUUAAACUUUCAGCUUUAAUGCAUCCCUUUAGAGACACGCUGGGCACAAGAAGGCUGUUUAUACUUCAAUCCAAGUCCUGUUUCCAUAGUUUUACGGUUAUUUAAAAUUGCCGUUUGUUGGAUACAUUACUUUGAGCAGUUUUGUCAGUCCUCAAGUAAAAUUAAACUGUAGUCAGCCCAACAUAGCUUCUGUACUGUAACACAGUCACUUGCCCUGGAUAAAAGCAGUCGUCAGAUUAGUUUGGGGGAACCCAAAUUUUACUGCCCAACUUAGCAACUGACUCACUGUGUGCCAUGAAGCCCUAUUCCAGCCUGGGUGUGAAAUAGAGAGCUAUUAAUGUUUCUGUAUCUUCCUGGGCAAGUAGACCUUUGCCAACCCAACUGCCUCCCCCCCAUUCCUAUAGCCUCACAUUAAUGAUAAAACAAAAUAAUUAAAUGAAAGCCCCAGCCACUGAUUGACAGCUGCAGAUGGAGGGGGGGGUGUCCAAGCUUGUUUGGGACCCCCUCCUUGAAACAGCCAAUGCCUUGUGCCCUCCUGCAGGGGGGGGGGCGAGAGCAGGCAGAGGGUGCGAAUCAGGCCUCCAAGGGCCAAGAGGGAUACCAAUCAAAGGCUUUGAGGAACGGCGGGGUCAUGGGGGCGGGAGAGAGAGAGAGAGAGAGAGAAAGUAACACCUACAUGUAUGCAGUCAGCAGCAGGUUCUGUGAAGGCAUCUGACGACCAGAGAAACAGGAAAAACAGUGCCUCCCAGUGCACUGCAGCCACUGGUUAAUGAUUAUGAAAGGCAAUAUGCUUCGCAGCAGUUAGGUGUGAGACAGGUACAAGGGAAAUGCCAGCGAAUGCAACAAACGACAUGAGGAAAGUUUGGAGAAGCAGAGAAAGAGGCUGCGGCAGAAAUGUCAGUGUAAUGAGACAAGCCUGCAAACGGUGUAGCGCUGAAAUGAACAGAAGGAAGUGUGUUCACUUCCCGCUAAUCUCUGGACUCCAGAUGGCUCGCUAUUUGAUGUGUUUUGCAGGGUCCGGAGCCAGUGGGUGGCUGCAGUGAGCUGUGCGUGCCCAGUCCUGGCUACACGCUUUCUUUACUGGGGGUGGGGUGGCUUUGUGGUGAGAGAAAGGGAGACAAAGAAAUGGAGAAGUAAACCUGAAGAAAUCAGAUGAGAGUCUGGGCAAGCUAGUAAACAAGUAGAGUUUGUACGAGCCUCCAUCAUUUAUCAAGCUUUAUGACAAUGGGAAUGCUGAUGUCUAGCAAGUGGAAAUGUGCGAGUGUGACGUGGUUAUCGCUGUUAUAACACACACCAUUGGUCUGAACUUCCCUCAUGCAGUUUGGUGCCAGAUCUAGGACUUUGUUGGGCGAAAGAAGGCAUUAUAUAACUGCACAAACUAGAUCCACCAUCGCUGGCCAAAUGAAACUUUACUUUCGUUGCAUUUUCAUUAUUAUAUCAUGAAAUUUUAAGAGAUAUAUGGCUUGUCGGUGGAAUAUGUAAAUGAUGGGUUAUUUUUACGUUGCCAUAAUUAUUUAAAGGGGACAUCGCAAAAAGGCAGAGCAACACAAUGGUGUCUUGGCUGAAAUCAGAACGAGAUUCAGUUUCAAUAGCAGAGUUUAGAAAGACAAGAAAAACAAAAAAAGAAACAUUUGUCCUCUAUGGCCUUUAAUCACUAGCACUAGAUGGCUAGAUGAUUAUGCGUAAUUAAUGCUCUUGAACUAUGAAUGUCAAUAGGAGUUGCUCUACUGAGUAUAUUACACACAUUGAGAGAGCAUCAGGACUUGAAGAGACUGCAUUUAUUAUGAUAUAUAUAUAUAUAUAUAUAUAUAUAUAUAUAUAUAUAUUCCAGUUUGCUAUUGAGUCAAUAUAUUAUAAUUCUGAACACUUUAACAAAAACAUCUUAUUUAUGAGUAUAAACGUCAUUAGCAUACCUGGCAAGCAAGUCAGAUAUAUUCUUCAUAAAGAUUUGGACGUGUAACUAAAAGAGUAACACAUUAAUCAUCCCAAAUCCUACAGCCCCCUAUCUGCAAUCAUAAGACAUAAAUUAUGUAAUCCUCAGCAUCAGUAUUGGUAUUAACCUUAUUGACUUUAAUGUGUGUACUGGGAGACAAAUAUCUGAAACGGCUGUAAUGUUUUCUCUGUUAUGUGCAGCACUUAUAUGUUCACUAGGGCUACGUAUUGGCACAGAUGCCCCGAUUUGAUUAGUUUGAAAUUUGAUUCACAAGCUAACGAUUCGAUUCAGUCUGAUCCGGUAUCAACCCCAUAGGAAUGAGAUAUAAAAUACUAUAUAGAAGCUUUCCAUAUUUAGAGAGAUGUUUAAAAAGCUCUAAAUGUAACACAAAUUUACAAAUGCACUGGAAACAAAUUGUGAAAACCACAAAAGGAAGGCCAAAGGCUUGCAUAACUAAAUAUUUUUAUUUGAUGAACAUUUGGGUAUAGUUCCUUAAAAACAAAAUCUAUCACUGUCAAAGCAUAAAAAAAUGAUUUCUCUCACAUGACAUGUUUCAGACGGACUUUAAGUUAAAGAUAUAUGCCAUAAAUUACAAAUCUUUUUAUUUGAGGAACAUAUGGGUAUUGCUUAAGGCUGGGAAUCAGCUCUGACCUCACAAUUCGAUUCACAAGUGCCCGAUUUCAUUCGAUUUCAAUAUUCAAUCUAUAUUUAAGACACAAAUGUGCAAUCAAACCAGAUCUGUUGUCAAAAACAGGCAUAGUGCUGUAAUGUCAACGUGGCAAAGCAAUGUCAUUUAUUCUUGUACUUAUGAAUACACUGAAAUAUUUCAUCCACCCUCUGCACUUCUUGCACCCAGCCAGAAAAAAAAAUUGUACCUGUACACUUUUAGUCACUUUUAUUUGCAUUGUUUUUACCACAACAUUGAAAUAACAAUAAUUAUCAAUAUUCUCAUAACUGACAGCGGGUCAUAUCCAAUAAUAUAAUUUUUCUAUUUACAUCGUUUGCUUUUGUUUCAUUUGUUUUGCUUUUACAUAACGUAAGCAGUGUAAUGGGAAUGACUGGUGUGAGAAUAAAGCCUUGCUUGACUUGACAUGCUUGCACUCACUUGCCAUGCCAGACAAUGCACCAAGAUGGCAACGUGAGGCGAUUGCACAAUGGUGCUGCGACCCUCCUAUAAGUGAGGGAGAAAGUAGCGUCACGUAUAUGAUAAGGUACCGAUACAGGUAAAAUUCAGCAAAACUAUUUUCAAACUGAAGGGGAAAAGGCAUAGAUUAACUAGGUCAAUAAAUUAACUAGAUCCAUCUUGGGAUUUUGUGAAUCAAUAUCGAAUCAGCAAAACCAGGAUCGUGGUUAAUCAUAAAAUUAACACAUGAUGAUUUUCAACAUCGUUUGAAUAUGCAGCCAAGCCACUUACACCUGUGUGUGUCUCACGUUCUCCUUUGGAAACUCAAUAUGAGAACUCAAUUCACAUUAAUCCAUAGCAAUACUGAAAAGUAUGGUGCCACAGGCAUGGUUGACCAAAGAGACCAUUGCUGUUUCCAUGCACGCCGGCACAUUCUGCUGAACUCCUAUAAAUAUGAGUGAUCUCAGGCACAGCUGUUGUUGGAUGUUAAAGGAAGGGGAGAUGCCCCGAGCCACUGGAGUAUGCCUAAUGCGUGCUCAGGGCCUGGGAGCUGGCACUUGAUAGGUAGUGGCCACCAAGGGGGCAACAGCAUGCGCAUGCUUCACUCUAAAUCCUGGGCCACAGAUAAAUGUCCAUGUAGGCCACCAAUAAUAUAUCAAACAACUGAUCCAUCCUCUGCAUGUUAAUGUUUUUGUUUAGCAGACCGUUAACUACAUUUGCAUUUAUAGGUAUGUGAAAUGUACAACUUUAGGUGUUGUUUAAAAAAGAACCACCAGGCAUUAUCUGUUGUUAACCAUUUUAAGAGGCUGUAAAUCUUUGAGUGAUGCAACAACAAUGUAUUGCAAAGUACAACGCAAACCACCCUGGUCCCCAAUCAGCUCGUGGUAAUUAUUAUAUUGUAGAGGAGAUGGAUCCAUGCAGCUAGAGAAGCGGAGACUAAGACAUUUGAUUGACUGGUCCCACAAGCCUCCAAUCGUAUGGACUUAAGACUUAUUACGGAGGACACAUCGCACCCAAUAUUGCUGUAUAUCACUUAAGUAAAAUGACUUCAGCUGCUUUUUGUUGUGUACUGAAGACAUAUCAUUGUCGGACAAUGCAAGUGGAGCUGGUUUGAAAACUGGUUUCCACAUAACGUCAGUCUUACAACUGAUUGCUAUACUCUCAAAAGACCUAUGGAGACUAGAGCAAUACAACACAGAACUACAGACAAAUAUGAAAAAUAUGCCCAAAAGAAGUGACUUUUCAUAUUCAAGAAAAAAUCUAUUUAGUAUGCUGAUUUAAUUAAAAAGUUAUUGAUAAUGCAAGGUAUGCAUCAGAAUCAUUUUCCCACUGGAAGACGCUGCCAGACUGAGUGGCAAAACAUGCUGCAAUGUGGGAAAACUGCAAAACAGACACUGAUCUGCUUCAAUUAAAAGCAGUUGGACUCGACAGGGAUCCGUACAAGUUACCAAAGGACCAGUGGACCAUAGGCCUGAAAUCGGGUUUCUGGGCUACAUAGUUUUUAGAAACUUGCUUUGUGGAGCAGCCCCUUAUAAGGAAAACUGCAUUUAUCUUGGCUAGCUAACACUAUCUAGCCAUCCCCACUUUGUUUGUUAAACACAAAGCUCAUCAUCAAGGAUGUGUUUAAUGAAUGCUGAAAAAAAACUACAGCUACACAGAGUAUAAAUGCUGCUAGAUAUUUAGUUGAUGAGUAGUCAAUACAGUAUGUAGUGCCGGAGCAUGCUGAGAAGUUGUAAAUAGGCCCUAUGUGUGUUAUUGUUAAAACUUGUGCACCCAAUUGUCGAGUGUGCCCUGGCCUUUAUCUUUCGUGAACCCGGUCCAAUCUUCGCAUUCCUCUAGUUAUUCUGUAAACUACCCAUUGUGUGUGUGCUUUACCGUGCAGCUUCAGACCACCCUGCGUUUCCACAUUAUGUGUUGUACAGUGGUUGUUUAAUGCCUGUGUUAUAGUCUUUUUAAAGGCUUAAUAAAAGGGUAUUGUUUUUCCCCUUUAAGUGAGCCUCUGAUUUCUGCUGCGACCGUGAUGCCUAGUUCUGCCAGAUGCUACACUGGUGUAGUGAAGUGGGGUACCAAAAGUGGUCCCACUAACAUCCUUCUAGCAGACCACUCCAGCUUUGCACACCUAGAGAAACAGAGGUGAUUCUCAGGGGAUGAUGGCUCGAGGCAAGAAGCUCAUGUGCUGGUGCUGUAGAAAGAAAGGGCACCGGGCACGCUACAGCCUGGAAGCCAGUGCCAGAGCUGCCAGCAGACGAGCAGGGGACAACGGAGAGGGGGGGGGCUGCCGCCACAUCCUUCCUAAAAGCCCUGGACUCAUGCAGUGUGCCCUGAACCUGCCCCUGCCAGCCUGCUGGAACCCUGUCCGAGUUGGGGUCGGCGACCGGGGAUGGUGGAAGCUUCUGGAGGCUCUGCCUGCCCACCAGCCAGUGAAAGCCCUCAGCUCACCUUUCAUGAGGAGGCAUUCUGCAUGCUUGAUGCUCGGCUGGCUCAGCAGUGCCGCAAGCUCAGUGAACAGCGAUGGCAGAGCCAGCAGGAUCGGGAGUGGUUGCACGAAGAACUGGCUAGCUGUGAGUGUGACCGUCAGAAGCGUCAAGCCGAGGCAGCGGAGGCAGUGUUACUCGGCCGCUAGGUGGUGGUGGUGCUUGGCUGCAAAGAGGUGUGUCAUGCUUUGGAGGUCCAGUUGGCCCAGGAGCACAUAGAACUGGCAGAGCAACAGGAAGAGGGUGAGCAGGACCAGCAGCGGCUGCACAAGUCUCUGGAGCAGAAAUGGGCCAGCCUGGAGGGGCUGCAGAAGCAGCUUGCGCAGUGGAAGAGGAAGUAACUGGAGCAACUGCAUGAGGCCACAGGAGUUGUGGAGCAGGGGAACCAGUAGUGGAAACAGCCGGGAGGUCAGCAACAGUUCCCCACCAAGCUGUACAGGAAGAAUGGCCAGGGCCCAGGGGGAUCUGCUCCACCAGAGCCUGCUAGUUGCCCAGGGCCCACUAGCAACCCAGCUCUGCCAGCUAUUCCCAGCUGCUCCGCGCAGAAGCUGUCCCCAAAGAUGGAGUUCAGCAGCUACCACCAGUCUUUUGAGACCUGCUGGAGGAUAUGGCGAAGGACUGGUAUUGGUCGAUGGGACGGUCGACCUCUGGGAGGGGGGGCAGUUUAGCGCAGGGGCAUGCUGGAAAAUAGCUUCUGUGUGUGUUAUUGUUAAUACUUGUUGUGUUCCUGAUUGUCAUGUGUGCCCUUACCUAUGACUUGCUUGAACCCAAUCCUUACAUGCCUCUAGUAAUUGAGUAAACUACCCACCGAGUGUGCUUCACCGUCCGGCGUCAGACCACCCUGCCUCAGUUUUUAUGAUGGCAAUUUGCAUAUACUCCAGAAUGUUAUGAGGAGUGAUCAGAUGAAUCGCAAUUAAAGUCAAAAGUCAAAGUAAA